rnacentral:rRNA from 1 species
GCCCAGACUCCUACGGGAGGCAGCAGUGGGGGAUAUUGCACAAUGGGGGAAACCCUGAUGCAGCGACGCCGCGUGGGUGAAGAAGCGCCUCGGCGCGUAAAGCCCUAUCAGCAGGGAAGAAAAAAAGUCCUUUGGACUUUGGACGGUACCUGACCAAGAAGCCCCGGCUAACUACGUGCCAGCAGCCGCGGUAAUACGUAGGGGGCAAGCGUUAUCCGGAUUUACUGGGUGUAAAGGGAGCGUAGACGGCAGCGCAAGUCUGGAGUGAAAUGCCGGGGCCCAACCCCGGAACUGCUUUGGAAACUGUGCAGCUGGAGUGCAGGAGAGGUAAGCGGAAUUCCUAGUGUAGCGGUGAAAUGCGUAGAUAUUAGGAGGAACACCAGUGGCGAAGGCGGCUUACUGGACUGUAACUGACGUUGAGGCUCGAAAGCGUGGGGAGCAAACAGGAUUAGAUACCCCCGUA